AAGCUCGUAGUUGAAUUUCGGGGUUCUACCGUUGGUCGGGCUAACCAGUCUGUACUAGCGUGUAGAAUUCCUACCCUCUGGGGAACCAUCAUGUUAUUAAUUUAGCGUGGUGGGAAACCAGGACCUUUACCUUGAAAAAAUUAGAGUGUUCAAAGCAGGCUUACGUCUGAAUACAUUAGCAUGGAAUAAUAAAAUAGGACGGUGGUCCUGUUUUGUUGGUUUCUGAAUCACCGUAAUGAUUAAUAGGGAUAGUUGGG
rnacentral:rRNA from 1 species